rnacentral:lncRNA from 1 species
CCAGGAAUGCCUGCAGCUCAGAAGGAGUGUUCCUCCAGGUUGGAUUAGGAUACCAUCCUGAUUCCUGACCUUCCCUUCAGCUUUUAGUGUGUUUUGUCUUUGCGUUUUUUUUUUUUUCCAAUAGGGUUAUUUACCUACCUGUUGCUUUCUUUAGACAAAUUCAGGAAGCAUGAUGCUAUGGGCUAAAUGUUUGUGUCUCCCCAAAAUCCAUAUAUUGAAGUCCUAACCCCUAGUGUGAUGGUGUUUAGGAGAUAGGGCCUUAGGGAGGUGGUGAUUAAGUUUAGAUGAGAUCAUGAGAGCUGAGCCCUGUGAUGGAAUCAGUGCUCUUUAAGAAAGAUGCCAGAACACACACACACUCUCUCUCUCUCUCUCCCCUCCACCCCCAACAUCUCUGCCAUAUGGGGAGACAGCAAGAAUGGGGACAUCUGCAAAGCAAGAAGAGGGCCCUCACCGGACACUGCAUCUUGAUCUUGGACUUCCAGUCUCCAGAACUAGUCGAGUUGGAAGAAAAUGACAUCUGAUUCUUAUAGAAGGAAAGCAAUUACAUUUUGGCGUCUGCCUUCCCCAGCUUGCAUAUGUUUUUAAACAUAAAAAGAAAUUCUUAAUAUGUAAUUGUCAGGUAAUAAAAAGGGAA